GGGUGGUUAGCUCAGCUGGUAGAGCGUCCGCUUGACUCGCGGAAGGCCAUAGGUUCGAGUCCUAUAUCACCCA
rnacentral:tRNA from 1 species